rnacentral:rRNA from 1 species
UACGAAGGGGGCUAGCGUUGCUCGGAAUUACUGGGCGUAAAGGGCGCGUAGGCGACACUGUUAGUCAGGCGUGAAAGUCCUGGGCUCAACCUGGGAACUGCGCUUGAUACGGCAGAGCUAGAGGAUGGAAGAGGGUCGCGGAAUUCCCAGUGUAGAGGUGAAAUUCGUAGAUAUUGGGAAGAACACCGGUGGCGAAGGCGGCGACCUGGUCCAUUACUGACGCUGAGGCGCGACAGCGUGGGGAGCAAACAGG